CUAGUGAAUGUCUGAAAGUCUUCGAGCAAAUUAUUGAAGGGGGCGAUGGUGUUACUAUGUGGCCCAUGGGCUGAGAAUGGUGGCCGCAGUCACACUGGGAGCUACUCUUAGACCAUUCUUAGACCAUUCUUUUCUAUUUCAUUAACAGUCGCUGCUCCUGCUGCUCAGAGCGCAGGUUCAGCAGCGGUUGGAGAACUCUGGUGACACCUGGGGUGGAGCUGCAAGUUCCUCCAAGUUGAUUUUGUUCAACCUAAGUGAGAACUCAAACGACCAGGAUGAGUCUCACCAGCAGCAGUUGCAACGGCCACUCACCCGGUUGAACAAAUUGAACGUGAACCUUGAAUCUCUGCUGUUAAUGUGUCUGUGUGUGUCCCCUGUGCAACAGCCUGGUGGGCAAUGGCAUUGGCAAAGAAGGCGUCAGACGACUGUCCGAGGCUCUCCUCAAGAACUCCACCCUGCAGGAUCUCUGGCUCGGGGAGAACUCCCUGACGGACGAGGAGGCCCUCAUCCUCGCCGACGCCAUCCGUGGAAAAAUGCACCUCGAGCAGCUGUGGUUGAACAAAAAUAAAUUUACCGUGCUCGGCGCCGAGGCCAUCGCUGCUGCCCUCAAAGACAACACCUGCUUGAAGUGUGUCGUGCUGAGGGAUAAUGACAUCCCUUACGACGAAUACGUGAA